UCCAGACUCCUACGGGAGGCAGCAGUGGGGAAUAUUGGGCAAUGGGCGCAAGCCUGACCCAGCAACGCCGCGUGAAGGAAGAAGGCUUUCGGGUUGUAAACUUCUUUUAAGAGGGACGAAGGAAGUGACGGUACCUCUUGAAUAAGCCACGGCUAACUACGUGCCAGCAGCCGCGGUAAUACGUAGGUGGCAAGCGUUAUCCGGAUUUAUUGGGUGUAAAGGGCCUGUAGGCGGGAGCGCAAGUCAGAUGUGAAAACUCAGGGCUCAACCCUGAGCCUGCAUUUGAAACUGUGUUUCUUGAGUGCUGGAGAGGCAAUCGGAAUUCCGUGUGUAGCGGUGAAAUGCGUAGAUAUCAGGAGGAACACCGGUGGCGAAGGCGGCUUACUGGACCAUAACUGACGUUGAGGCUCGAAAGCGUGGGGAGCGAACAGGAUUAGAUACCCGCGUAAA
rnacentral:rRNA from 1 species